GAUGAACGCUGGCGGCGUGCCUAAUACAUGCAAGUCGAGCGAACGGACGAGAAGCUUGCUUCUCUGAUGAUAGCGGCGGACGGGUGAGUAACACGUGGAUAACCUACCUAUAAGACUGGGAUAACUUCGGGAAACCGGAACUAAUACCGGAUGAUAUUUUGAACCGCAUGGUUCAAAAGUGAAAGACGGUCUUGCUGUCACUUAUAGAUGGAUCCGCGCUGCAUUAGCUAGUUGGUAAGGUAACGGCUUACCAAGGCAACGAUGCAUAGCCGACCUGAGAGGGUGAUCGGCCACACUGGAACUGAGACACGGUCCAGACUCCUACGGGAGGCAGCAGUAGGGAAUCUUCCGCAAUGGGCGAAAGCCUGACGGAGCAACGCCGCGUGAGUGAUGAAGGUCUUCGGAUCGUAAAACUCUGUUAUUAGGGAAGAACAUAUGUGUAAGUAACUGUGCACAUCUUGACGGUACCUAAUCAGAAAGCCACGGCUAACUACGUG
rnacentral:rRNA from 1 species